rnacentral:rRNA from 1 species
ACGCUCGACACCUACGGGAGGCAGCAGUGGGGAAUAUUGCACAAUGGGGGAAACCCUGAUGCAGCAACGCCGCGUGAGUGAAGAAGUAUUUCGGUAUGUAAAGCUCUAUCAGCAGGGAAGAUAAUGACGGUACCUGACUAAGAAGCUCCGGCUAAAUACGUGCCAGCAGCCACGGUAAUCUGAGCGGGCUGGCAAGGC